rnacentral:rRNA from 1 species
CUUCGGAGCUGUAUUAGAUCAUGGAGAGUUUGAUCCUGGCUCAGAACGAACGCUGGCGGCGCGUUUUAAGCAUGCAAGUCGAGGGGUAGAAGCGCUUCGGUGCUUUGAGACCGGCGAACGGGUGAGUAACACGUAGGUGAUCUGCCGUGAGGUUGGGGAUAGCCUGUGGAAACACAGGGUAAUACCGAAUGAGCUUCUGACACUGUGGUGACAGGAGGAAAGGGGCGAGUGCCCCGCCUUACGAUGAGCCUGCGGCUGAUUAGCUAGUUGGUGGGGUAAAGGCCUACCAAGGCGACGAUCAGUAGCCGGCCUGAGAGGGUGAUCGGCCACACUGGGACUGAGAUACGGCCCAGACUCCUACGGGAGGCAGCAG